CACACCUCCCCACCCCACCCCCAUCCAGAAGCCAGAGCUUUAAGCAGGAAUCUUCCUCACCUUUGCUAACCCAGUAUGUAGAAGAAUAAGUGUGAGGGGAGCUCUGCUUGACUGAAAGAGCCUGUCCUGGGUCCAGAGGAUGUGGCAAGGGGCCAGGGAGAUGGCUCAGCCUCUGACAGCCGCAUGUAGCACGUGUCCCUCCUCACCUUGGCAAGAGGUGGGAACAGUGGCUAACCACUACUCAGGGGUCAGGGAGGACGUUGGAUCUUGUAACACGAGAUUUUUUUUUUUAGACAGCAGAAUAAUUCUGCGUUUCUGAUGGUGGGAGCCAGAACUCAUGCGGUUUACCCUUUCACGUGCCUCAUAGGUAAGAAGAUACCAUGGGCAUUGCUCUCCCCCACUCCCCCUUUCCUCAGCAAACCAGACCACACCAAACCCCAAACUAACUUAUAAACAUAACACAUUUAGUUAGGAAAAAAAUAAAGAAGGCAUAGUAAAAGAGAGAACACCAGUCUAUUUUUAAAGCAGUAGCAGUCUUCAGAGACAAAUGUCGUGUCCCUAAACAUACUCUCACGGCUCCCAAUAGGAAGAAAUUAGCUUUGUUUCAGGGUCAGCCGUGUUCUACCACCUCUUAAGUCAAGCGAAAAUAAUUAUCAUUAAAAACAGUACCCUGUGGUAGGCAACACCCCACUUUCAGAUUUCACACCCCACUUACUCCAAGCUGGUUUAUACCAACCACAGCAAUUUCAAGUUAACACACUUCAGCUCACCCCUUCCUAUGAUAAAGGACCAACAGAGACCAGUUCAUUCUGCACGCUGGCUUGCUCCCGGGUAAGAGGCAUUCAAAGCCACUCUCUGGUUUCUGUGGUUGGUUAAGAGCAAAGGGUACCCUAGGUUAGCCAGGGGUGAAGGAAGUGUUAAGUGAGAACCGAGGGCUUCCUCCAGAGUCCUGAGUGUCAACAUUCCUGAGGGAGAGGGAGAGGGAGAGGGAAAGAAGGGGAGUAGGGGUAGGGUAGGGAGAUGGGAAGAGGAAAAGGAGAGGGACAGGACUUAUGCAUGCUUUAGUAGAGUCUAGUUAGCUACUAGUCGUACUUCCGUGGUCAUGGUACAAAUUUACAAGAGAGCCAUAUUUAAAAAUGGCUUCCCACGAUACCUCCCUGAGACCAGUUGGGAUUCAUGAAGGCUAGUCUCCCCAGGUGUCUUUCCUAAAGCAGUGAAGAAAAAUAUUUUCUGAUACUGGCUAAAGGCAAAUAUGAAUAAAUGAAAUGAGUGAUUUGAUUUGUUCUGGCCACUUUUGCACUUAAACUUCUAUUGCUUUAAAUUAUGUGUGUGUGUGUGUGUGUGUGUGUGUGUGUGCAUGUAUACAUAAGUGCAGGUGCCCACAGAGACCACAGGGAAGAGAGGGUUCUGGAUCCCCAAAGCUGCAGUUAUAGGUAGAUAUGAGCCAUGUGUGUGCUGGAACCUGAACCCAUGCCUUGCAAGAACAGCGCAUUCCUCCUCACAACCAAACCGCUCUAUCCUCUGAAUAAACUUUUAAAUUGAAAUCAGUGUCCUUUUUGGAGGACCACAGAAAACACACACAAAAGCACACUCAAAGUGCGUAAAAGAGGGGUUUCCCACAGACCACAUGGAAGCACUUAAGGCUAAGGUUACCCUAAUGCACUCCUGCUGAGAAGUUCAAAAGGUCCGGUCUGAAAAGGAGAGAAAGAGGCAGGGCAGAAAGGGCCUGCUGCAGAGGUCUAUCUGUCAUCCCUGCCACUGAGGCCUGUCUGUCAUCCUUCCACUGAGUCUGUCUGUCAUCCCUGACACUGAGGUCUGUCUGUCAUCCCUGCCACUGAGGUCUGUCUGUCAUCCUUCCACUGAGGCCUGUCUGUCAUCCUUCCACUGAGUCUGUCUGUCAUCCUUCCACUGAGUCUGUCUGUCAUCCUUCCACUGAGUCUGUCUGUCAUCCCUGCCACUGAGGUCAGUCUGUCAUCCUUCCACUGAGGUCAGUCUGUCAUCCCUGCCACUGAGGUCUGUCUGUCAUCCCUGCCACUGAGGUCUGUCUGUCAUCCCUGCCACUGAGGCCUGUCUGUCAUCCCUGCCACUGAGGUCUGUCUGUCAUCCCUGCCACUGAGGUCUGUCUGUCUGUCAUCCCUGCCACUGAGGUCUGUCUGUCAUCCUUCCACUGAGGUCUGUCUGUCAUCCUUCCACUGAGGUCUGUUUGUCAUCCCUGCCGCAGAGUUCUUCCCAGAAAGGCAUUGUAGGGACUAAAGAUUACAUUGCUAGUCACUGUAUGGAUGCAAAUGUGCCGACCCUGCAGGGAAAUGGAACUGCUGAGACCAUCCCCAGAACUGGGGAGCAGUUUAGUGUGGUUCAUGCAGCAGGGGGUGGAAGAGUAGAGCCUCACAAAGCCACCUGAAAGGUGAGCUAAGACAAGGACUUCAGAAGGGACGAGAAUGUUCUACCUUUAUGCACAGUAGACCAGAUAAGCUAAGCUCCCAAGCUUUGACUAUGGUCAAUGGUUCAAUGCUGGGCAAUGACAUUUCAAGGAAUCUUGUCCAUGACUUUCUGACACAAGCUGGGGGUGGGGUGCGGCUCCUGUACAGUGGACAGGUUCUGGGCUUGACAGCUCUGACUGGCAGCUGUUGAAUGUGAGUGGUACGCAGAGGAAAGCUGACAGAGCAGAGAGAGAAAGCCUGUAUGGUGGCAGGUGUCCCUCAGCAGCUUGUUCACGUAAAUUCCCUUCUGCUUCUGCUGAUGUUGUGGACUGCACUGGGUCCUAGACCCCAGUAACUCCCAAAGUGACCAACUGGACCCCAGUACCCCCAAAGUGACUGACUAGAACCCAGUAUCCUCCAAAGCAACCGACUAAGCCCAGUAUCCCCCAAAGUGACUGACUAGACCCCAGUAUCCCCAAAGUGAUCGACUAGAGCCCAGUAUCCCCCAAAGUGACCUUAUUUGGAGUCAGAGCUGAUGGAUUAGUUGGUGUGAUGAGCUCAAAAUGAUGUAAGGAGAAGCAGAGGAGGAGAGGAUCCUCAUAAAAGGAAGGCUGAGGUUACAGUUACAAUAGGUGCCACAGGCCAAGGAAUACAUGAGGCCAUGAGCAGUGGGAAGGAAAACUUGGAACUCAGAAAAGCCAAUGCUGGUUAAUACAAAACAGAAGUGUCUCCUUGGUCAGUUUCCUCCAGGUCAGCCAUAGGCUAUGCAAACUCUCUUCUUGUUAGCAGCUCAUUCUGUACAACUGGGGAGGCUAUUCCUAGAAGCUCCUCAGUGAUGGGUCUUGGCCUUACAAAUGACUAAAAGCAGAUGUCAGGCCUAGUACUUGGUUUUGCCUCAAAGACCGGGGCUGCCUGUUUGGAUAAGAGGUGGCCCUGGCCCCUUUCCUCUUCCAGGGACUGAGAAACCUAAGAAAAGAGCCCUGGGAUUUUAGGCAGAGGGCAUUCAUUGGAACUGUGCAUUCAUUAACCUUCUUAGCAGUACAGGCACUGUAGUGACAAAAGAUUCUAAGUGCAAUAAGUUCUUACAGAACAAAACAAGAAGAAGGAAUAACCCCAGAGCCCAGAGAGGAGGCUGGGUAAAGACAGAGGCAAAGACUAUAUUGUGGUCUCCAAACCAUGGAAUGCCAAAAACCGCAGCACCCCAGGCUGGGAGAUAGAUAUAGAAUGGUCUUUCUGAAGAGCCUCUGGAAGGUACCAUAACUUUGGCCUACAACUUUGAUUCCAAACUUCUGGCUUCCAGAACUAUGACAGGCUACAUUGUUGCCAUUUCUAGCCACUAUAUUCAUGGUAAUUCGUCAUGACAGGCCUAAGAAACGUAUACAAGGUAUCAGUAACUGCACAAGCUACCAAGGGCAGGCACCGGAUGUGUGGUUGGUCUCUGUUUAUUCACUGUGGCCUGUGUUCUGUGACAGCACAAAAAAAUUAUUUGGAAUUUUCAAGAUUUCACAGAAUUGCUUCAUAAUCGAUCAUGGUACUAAACUUAACACUGGCCUAAAGCGUUCAUAUCUGUGCAAAUAAGUUCUUAACUGGCUGCAAAACGAGUGCUGGGCUGGCAGAAAGUCUGGUUGCAACAAUCCUACGGACACAUGAAAUGCUGGUCAGGUUAACACGGACUAUCACCCAGACACAUGGGACAGUGUGUUAAGGAGACAGAACCUUUUGUUGUCUGCCAGGACUUGGCUACGUGCACACUCUAUGUUUUGUAAUCGUUGAUUUUAAAUGACAACUGAAAAGAAUGUCACCAAUGUAUAAUUAGUAGUGGCCACAUGAAUAAAAGUCUAUAUAGAUCAACAGCCAAAUUCUGGUCUUUCCACAGAAGAGUACAUUGUCCCAGUGUGGUGGCUUACGCCUGCCAUCCAGCACGGAGGGGACUGACGAGGACAUCUAUGAACUCAAG
rnacentral:sRNA from 1 species